AACGAACGCUGGCGGCAGGCCUAACACAUGCAAGUCGAACGCACCGCAAGGUGAGUGGCGCACGGGUGAGUAACACGUGGGAAUGUACCCUUUGGUUCGGAAUAACGUUUGGAAACGAACGCUAAUACCGGAUGAGCCCUGCGGGGGAAAGAUUUAUCGCCAAAGGAGCAGCCCGCGUCUGAUUAGCUAGUUGGUGGGGUAAAGGCCUACCAAGGCGACGAUCAGUAGCUGGUCUGAGAGGAUGAUCAGCCACACUGGGACUGAGACACGGCCCAGACUCCUACGGGAGGCAGCAGUGGGGAAUAUUGGACAAUGGGCGCAAGCCUGAUCCAGCCAUGCCGCGUGAGUGAUGAAGGCCUCGGUUGUAACU
rnacentral:rRNA from 1 species